CCUACGGGCGGCAGCAGUGAGGAAUAUUGGUCAAUGCGCUUACGCCUGAACCAGCGACGUCGCGUGAGGGAAGACUGCCCUCUGGGUUGUAAACCUCUUUUGUCAGGGAGCAAUUGGCGCUAAGUGUAGCGUUAUCGAGAGUCCCUGAAGAAAAAGCAACGGCUAGCUCGGUGCGAGCAGCCGCGGUAAUACGGAGGAUGCGAGCGUUAUCUGGAUUGAGUGGGUUGAAAGGGUGCGUAGGCGGAAUGCAAAGUCAGCGUUAAAAUCGCGGGCCUAAAACUAGCUACGCCGGUGAAACUGGCAUUCUUGAGUGUGCGAGAGGUAUGCGGAAUGCGUGGUGUAGCGGUGAAAUGCGUAGAUAUCAGGAGGAACUCCGAUUGCGAAGGCAGCAUACCGGCUGCCAACUGACGCUGAAGUGCGAAAGCGUGGGUAGCGAACAGGAUUAGAUACCCCUGUAGUC
rnacentral:rRNA from 1 species